rnacentral:rRNA from 1 species
CCCUUAGAUGUUCUGGGCUGCACGCGUGUUACAAUCGGGAGUAAAACAAGAUUGCAAAUCCUAGUGGAUGAGUGGUUCUUCGAAAUUUUCUGAAGACUGGGAUAGUUGAUUGAAAUUAUUCAACUCAAACGAGGAAUUCCUUGUAAUUGUAAUUCAUUAUAUUGUAAUGAAUACGUCCCUGCCCUUUGUACACACCGCCCGUCGCUCCUACCGAUUGAACGAUCCGGUGAAUUAUUUGGAGUAGCUCUGGAAGUUGCAGAACUUCCUAUGUCACGAAAUUUUGUAAACCUUAUCGUUUAGAGGAAGGAAAAGUCGUAACA